rnacentral:rRNA from 1 species
CCUACUGGCGGCAGCAGUGGGGAAUAUUGGACAAUGGGCGAAAGCCUGAUCCAGCCAUGCCGCGUGUGUGAAGAAGGCCUUCGGGUUGUAAAGCACUUUCAGUGGGGAAGAAAGCCUUGGGGCUAAUACCCUCGAGGAAGGACAUCACCCACAGAAGAAGCACCGGCUAACUCCGUGCCAGCAGCCGCGGUAAUACGGAGGGUGCGAGCGUUAAUCGGAAUUACUGGGCGUAAAGCGCGCGUAGGCGGUCUGAUAAGCCGGUUGUGAAAGCCCCGGGCUCAACCUGGGAACGGCAUCCGGAACUGUCAGGCUAGAGUGCAGGAGAGGAAGGUAGAAUUCCCGGUGUAGCGGUGAAAUGCGUAGAGAUCGGGAGGAAUACCAGUGGCGAAGGCGGCCUUCUGGACUGACACUGACGCUGAGGUGCGAAAGCGUGGGUAGCAAACAGGAUUAGAUACCCGAGUAGUC